rnacentral:misc_RNA from 1 species
CCGCAACUCAAUUCCAUUGGUUUGUGCAUAUCUUAACAUCGACAUUUGAAAUGUUGUAGCAAUAUCCAAUAGAUCAUCAGUACGUUAGUUUGAGAUACAGUACACAAAAUAAUGAAGUGUCACCCCUGUAUUACGUUAGAGACAACCAACCUGACAAAGCAAAGUAGCUUGUGAAGCCAAAAUGUCUAGGAAGCUUAAAUAAAUGAUAAUCAAUUGUACACUAACUUAAAUGUUACUGAUACAAGAAAAAAAAAUGCUCAUGUCAAAAUUGUAUGCUGCUAUUUGUCCUUCACUUCUGCAUUUCUCACUAUUCUUUAUUCUUUGGUGUGGUAAGCUGCUCCACGUUCAACAAUUCAAAGCCAAAAGCCAACAUCAUCCCACUAAUUUUAAGCUCCAAAAUGUGGUCAGCAGAAUCACUCAUUCAACGUUUGUAAUAACAUACAGCUUUGGGUCCACCACACAAUCACGGUUGUAAUUCACUUCUGCAGGUGUUGGCACGCCAAUAGCAGCGUUUGAACUGUGAAUGGUCAGUAACACAUAUUACAUGGGUGAGUAAACCAUCUGCAGGGGAGAAAAAACCACAGCAGAGAUAGCUAAUGAAUGAUCUCAAGUGAGGAGACAUAACAAAGAUUUUGCAUGCAAUAUCUUUUCAGUGGCGCCAUGGAGAUCCACCAAUAUUAUAGCUAAACCCAUUUUCAUCAUCUCGGUUAUGUCUCCAACGCUGUUUCUUUCUUCCUCUUUUCGACCCAUUUUCUUCAUGACUGAUCUUCCCCACAUCACCAUUUUCUUUUAUCUUACUAAACUUGUCUUUGGAAGAAGAUUUCCUUUUCUUCCCAGAUGAUUGUGCAUCACCAUCUCCAGCUACUCCACCUCCCCGUGGCAGUUCUUCAUCAUCUAACAACCAGUUACCCAAAAUCUCCUGGUGAUCAUCAUGAUGUGACUGUAUUGGCUCCCCAGCUCCCGGCAGCAGGGCAUCGAAAGUCACCUCCCCAUUGCAUCCUCCUUUCCGCUCCAGCAAAACAGGGUCUGGUCUAAUUAUGGUGCCAAGAAUGCUCCUGUUCGGGCCUAAGCUUAAGAUGGUCUUUGGAUUUGUCAAUGUUGAAAAUGCCAUUGAAAAGGCUGACCUAAUCUGCAACAAGGAUUUGACAACUAGUUAAUAAUCUUUACAGUAACAAAGGAAUAAAUAAUUUUUAUCUUAAUAUGAAUCUGAUUUUUUGCCAGAAACAUAAGAAUCCGAGGAAUUCUCAAACUUCACAUUCCAUGUGAUGUGAACAGAUAAUUCUGCUAGGCUAACUUGAGCAAAUAAAAAACCUAGCCAAUGUCCACCCUGCCUUGCACAGAUGAAAGAUGCAUAGCUUGUUGUCAACAUAAUUGAGGUUAAAUCACUGAUUUCAAAACAAGUUUCGAAUUCAAAUGCAGCAUUCAACUGAAACCAGCCAUCAGCCACAGUUGAACAUAAGCCAAUUGAAAACUGCAAUAUUUGACAAGUAUGGUGCUCUUUGCACACCGAAUUGAAUGUCAAGUAAGAAAGUUUGAUUCAGGAUAUCAUCUAUAGGAGUUAAACAAAGUCUAGAAAAGUUGCAACCUCAGAGACAUUGCUGCACAGCAAGGUUAUAGAGGCUUGACAAGGGAUUGACUCAAUACAACCAGCAUAACUUACAGAUCAAUGAAUAGCAAAACAAAAUGUAGAUGACUAACAGCCUAAGAACUUCAAUCCUUCUACAAACUAGCAAAUUACAUUUUUUUUUUCUUCCUUUUUGAUCAGUACAGUUAGUAACGAGCUAUAUAACUUCAUAAUUCAAUCAUUGGGAUAAACCGCCACUAAUCCAUCAAAACACACCACCAUUCAAGAAAUGGAGAUCAAAAUUAAAUAAGAGGGAAAACCAUGGCCUCUAACUAGAAAAUAUAGGUUCUGAACUCAGAGAAGGAACUCGUCAACAUGAAACAACACACACAGGUAGGGGUGGCCACUGGGCCACGCCAGGCCAGCUCCAAUUCAAGGUUCAGGGGAAUGGGAACCAGACUGCAAUGUCCCCCUCACUUCCAAUUCCAAUUUGGUUGUGGUUUUGAUUUGAUUCAGUUUGGCUUUGAUCAAAGCCAAUAGUUGAAAUUUUUCAAAAUUUAUAUUUCUUUAAAAAAGAAAAAUCCAGUUUGGCCUGUAAACUGGUCCAAUUCUGAACCAGACCAUGGCCAGGUCUACACACAGGAUAUCUAGAUUUAUUCAAGCCCAGCAAAUUUUAGAUCCGUAGGCAUUCUGAACCUUUCAGUUCAAUAAACAUCAUGCAUCACUUUAAAUUUUCAACAGAGUAACAGCUUGAAAAUGAAUUAUUGAUGACAAGAUAUUCAGUAGCUUUGCAAUUUUAGAAAGAGUAAAGAUGCAUUGGAUUUUUUUUCAGUUUAAUAGCAUAGUUGCCACAUGUCAUUAUAGCACACUUGUGAAUAAAAGAGUAUUGACAAAUGUCUUUUUUAUAUGGAUUAAACAGGCCAAUCAAAUAUAUUUGGUGAUCAAGCUGGCUAAUGUGAAAGAUAUUCAAAUUAUGGGUCUAAUCAGAUCAAAUAUUAAUUCUGUUAAACAGGUCAACCAGAUUUGGCUCAAACAGGUAGGUUUGCUUCAUGUCCAUAAAUCAAGUCAAAAGAUUGCCACCCCUGCAUUCUUCAGUUAAAUGGUUGACAAAAUGUGCUGCAAUGACACUCAAAUCACUCUCUUACAUUGAUAUUGGGAUUUGGGCAUUUAUAAUUCAUAAUUGCUGGUGCUGUGCAGUGAAAGCAACAAGAAAAGAAGAUUCUGGAUCAUUGAACAAACCUGGAAGUAAUUAAAUGAGUUCUUCCCAAUGUCAUUGUCUGGUGCCUAAUCCAUCAAAGGGGGAAAAAAUGCUUUACCAACCAAAUUAAAUAUAGAUAAUAAAUAAAAACAUUAUUAGUGUAGGAUCGAUUUUUAUCCAGUUUCAUUCUCAUCCCAAUUAGUCUGCUGCAUCAAGGUGCAGAAUGCUUGCCCGUAAUCAGUGUGAAAGGCAAAGCAGGUUAUCGUAACCUGUUUUGCCUUUUGGGGGGAGUGCACUAUUAAGAGAGGGGCGGACCAGCCAUGGGAUGGAAAUCAGCUAAAUCCACUCUUAGCUAUAAAGGUAUAUCAACCAACCCAUCCAAACCACGUAAAUGCCAUAUUAAGAAAUCACACCGAUACAUUUUCAGUUGACAACCUACUAUUUUAUUUGCAAAAUAUAGUCAAUUAAUACACAGAAAUUUCAUGUAAGCAAGUUGACCUGUGGAUCUUCAAUGGCGAUGAGAAAUGGCCGUCCCUUGUUUAUAAACCCUUUCCUACGCUUUGAAAAGAAAGUGCCUGCCCCAUUGCAAGAUACACCAACAUCUAUGGUGUUCAAUUUGCGCCCGUAAAAGUCAAAAAAAUGUAUCAGGAGGACUCCCAAAUUAUCUUCUAAAGAAGAUUGGCACUCUCUGAGAUUCUUUAACAUUGCCAUGAGCAUCGCAAGUAGAGCAUAAGAACCUAUGCCGCCAGAGUAUACCUCAUUGAGUUCUCUUUGUUGUAAAAACAAUUUCAAGAUUAAACAUAAUGGCCGUAGGCAAGGCCAUUUGGAUACUGCAUCCUUAAUAAAUUUAGCAGCUUUUGGUCCGUUAUCCACAUCAAAACUUAUAUCAAAUGAAAUCCCACUUUGUCUUUCUAUGAAUUUGACAAUUGGCACACGAGCCUUUGCAAUCACCUGUAUCUUCUUUGCGAUACCCUUCUGAGACAAUGCCCUUGAAAGUGCCUGCAAACCAAUUUGAGGGUAUUUUAUACCCGACCCCAGAAUCACAACAUCUAUAUCACUUGUUGGAAGAUAAAGUCCUGUCUUGUACGAACCAAAAACUUCUACCUUGCAAUUGGGCCAUAUGUAUUUGAUAACAUCAAAAACAAUUUUUAUUGCUGUAUCGCGUGCAGCUUGCUCCUUGGGUGUAGGAGAGAGAAAAUCACAGAAAUCUACUAACUCUUUAUGUAAUUGUAGCAUAGGACUCCUAAACCUACUGUUCCCUCUAAACCAACUGCCUUCCAGGCUUGGCUCCAACGCCGACUGCAACUUAGAAUUUCGAGUCAGCUCGGCUGCUCCACUGGGUGUCUUAGGCUCAGGUUCCUGCUCACUAGUGGCGCCAACAUCAAGAGAGAAGAAAUCAGGGGCGGCAGAUUCAAUGGAAGAGGAAUUAACCGAUGAGAGAGAGAUUUCAUUGCGGAAGACGGAGUAAGGCUGGAGAGAAUCGGAGACAGGAGAUUGAUUGGGGGUGGGAAGAGAAAGAGGGGUUAGGGUUUCGUAGAGAGGGAUUGGAGUUUGGGUUGGGGAAUCCAUAUCCAAAGGGGCGGCAGUUGGUUCUUUGAACGAGAGUAGGGGUU